rnacentral:rRNA from 1 species
GACGAACGCUGGCGGCGUGCUUAACACAUGCAAGUCGAACGGAAAGGCCCUGCUUUUGUGGGGUUCUCGAGUGGCGAACGGGUGAGUAACACGUGAGUAACCUGCCCUUGACUUUGGGAUAACUUCAGGAAACUGGGGCUAAUACCGGAUAGGAGCUCCUGCUGCAUGGUGGGGGUUGGAAAGUUUCGGCGGUUGUGGAUGGACUCGCGGCUUAUCAGCUUGUUGGUGGGGUAGUGGCUUUCCAAGGCUUUGACGGGUAGCCGGCCUGAGAGGGUGACCGGCCACAUUGGGACUGAGAUACGGACCAGAAUCCAACGGGAGGCAGAAGUGGGGAAUAUUGCACAAUGGGCGGAAGCCUGAUGCAGCAACGCCGCGUGCGGGAUGACGGCCUUCGGGUUGUAAACCGCUUUCGCCUGUGACGAAGCGUGAGUGACGGUAAUGGGUAAAGAAGCACCGGCUAACUACGUG